UUUAAAGAACAAGAAACCAAUCAUCAAAACGGACGCAAACAGUUGGGUGCCCACAGUACUGAU
rnacentral:sRNA from 1 species